rnacentral:rRNA from 1 species
GGCGGUGCUAACACAUGCAAGUCGAACGGCAGCACAGAGGAGCUUGCUCCUUGGGUGGCGAGUGGCGGACGGGUGAGGAAUACAUCGGAAUCUACUCUGUCGUGGGGGAUAACGUAGGGAAACUUACGCUAAUACCGCAUACGACCUACGGGUGAAAGCAGGGGAUCUUCGGACCUUGCGCGAUUGAAUGAGCCGAUGUCGGAUUAGCUAGUUGGCGGGGUAAAGGCCCACCAAGGCGACGAUCCGUAGCUGGUCUGAGAGGAUGAUCAGCCACACUGGAACUGAGACACGGUCCAGACUCCUACGGGAGGCAGCAGUGGGGAAUAUUGGACAAUGGGCGCAAGCCUGAUCCAGCCAUACCGCGUGGGUGAAGAAGGCCUUCGGGUUGUAAAGCCCUUUUGUAGGGAAAGAAAUCCAACUGGUUAAUACCCGGUUGGGAUGACCGGUACCCAAAGAAUAAGCACCGGCUAACUUCGUGCCAGCAGACGCGGUAAUACGAAGGGUGCAAGCGUUACUCGGAAUUACUGGGCGUAAAGCGUGCGUAGGUGGUUAUUAAAGUUCCGUUGUGAAAGCCCUGGGCUUCAAGCUGGGAACUGCAGUGGAUACUGGA